UACGUAGGUGACAAGCGUUGUCCGGAUUUACUGGGCGUAAAGGGCGCGUAGGCGGUUUGCACAGUCAGACGUGAAAUUCCUGGGCUUAACCUGGGGGCUGCGUUUGAUACGUGCAGGCUUGAGUUCGGAAGAGGGUCGUGGAAUUCCCAGUGUAGAGGUGAAAUUCGUAGAUAUUAGGAAGAACACCGGUGGCGAAGGCGGCCCACUGGUCCGGUACUGACGCUGAGGUGCGAAAGCGUGGGGAGCAAACAGG
rnacentral:rRNA from 1 species